GAGUUUGAUCUUGGCUCAGAUUGAACGCUGGCGGCAGGCCUAACACAUGCAAGUCGAGCGGUAGAGAGAAGCUUGCUUCUCUUGAGAGCGGCGGACGGGUGAGUAAUGCCUAGGAAUCUGCCUGGUAGUGGGGGAUAACGCUCGGAAACGGACGCUAAUACCGCAUACGUCCUACGGGAGAAAGCAGGGGACCUUCGGGCCUUGCGCUAUCAGAUGAGCCUAGGUCGGAUUAGCUAGUUGGUGAGGUAAUGGCUCACCAAGGCGACGAUCCGUAACUGGUCUGAGAGGAUGAUCAGUCACACUGGAACUGAGACACGGUCCAGACUCCUACGGGAGGCAGCAGUGGGGAAUAUUGGACAAUGGGCGAAAGCCUGAUCCAGCCAUGCCGCGUGUGUGAAGAAGGUCUUCGGAUUGUAAAGCACUUUAAGUUGGGAGGAAGGGCAGUAAAUUAAUACUUUGCUGUUUUGACGUUACCGACAGAAUAAGCACCGGCUAACUCUGUGCCAGCCG
rnacentral:rRNA from 1 species